CGGCGGUAGAAGAUGAGUAUGCGUCUAUUAGCUAGUUGGUAAGGUAACGGCUUACCAAGGCGACGAUAGGUAGGGGUCUGAGAGGGAGAUCCCCCACACUGGUACUGAGACACGGACCAGACUCUACGGGAGGCAGCAGUGAGGAAUAUUGGUCAAUGGAGGCAACUCUGAACCAGCCAUGCCGCGUGCAGGAAGACUGCCCUAUGGGUUGUAAACUGCUUUUAUACAGGAAGAAACUUACUCACGUGUGGGUAACUGACGGUACUGUACGAAUAAGGACCGGCUAACUCCGUGCCAGCAGCCGCGGUAAUACGGAGGGUCCAAGCGUUAUCCGGAAUCAUUGGGUUUAAAGGGUCCGUAGGCGGGCGAUUAAGUCAGAGGUGAAAUCCCACAGCUCAACUGUGGAACUGCCUUUGAUACUGGUUGUCUUGAGUUACAGUGAAGUAGAUAGAAUAUGUAGUGUAGCGGUGAAAUGCAUAGAUAUUACAUAGAAUACCGAUUGCGAAGGCAGUCUACUAACUGUUAACUGACGCUGAGGGACGAAAGCGUGGGGAGCGAACAGGAUUAGAUACCCUGGUAGUCCACGCCGUAAACGAUGGUCACUAGUUGUUGGGGCUUUAUGCCUCAGUGAUUAAGCGAAAGUGAUAAGUG
rnacentral:rRNA from 1 species